rnacentral:rRNA from 1 species
GAUUAACGCUGGCGGCGUGCCUAACACAUGCAAGUCGAGCGGCAGCGCGUUUUACACUGAAUUCUGGAAGCUUCUAGUUGAAAGAGAAGAUUUAUUCAAGAAUUUUGUGUAAAAUGUCGGCGAGCGGCGGACGGCUGAGUAACGCGUGGGAACGUACCCCAAAGUGAGGGAUAACGCAUCGAAAGGUGUGCUAAUACCGCAUAUGGUCUUCGGAUUAAAGCCCUCGGGCGCUUUGGGAACGGCCUGCGUAAGAUUAGAUAGUUGGUGGGGUAAUGGCCUACCAAGUCGACGAUCUUUAACUGGUUUGAGAGGAUGAUCAGUCAGACUGGAACUGAGACACGGUCCAGACUCCUACGGGAGGCAGCAGUGAGGAAUCUUCCACAAUGGGCGAAAGCCUGAUGGAGCAACGCCGCGUGCAGGAUGAAGGCCUUCGGGUUGUAAACUGCUUUUAUAAGUGAGGAUUAUGACAGUAACUUAUGAAUAAGGAUCGGCUAACUACGUG